GGCCACCUACGGGGGGCUAUCACAUAGGUGAACUCAAGGGUUCACCACUGCUAAACGGAAGACAGAAA
rnacentral:ncRNA from 1 species